rnacentral:rRNA from 1 species
UACGUAGGGGGCGAGCGUUGUCCGGAUUUAUUGGGCGUAAAGAGCGUGUAGGCGCCAGGUAGGUCUGCUGUGAAAACUCGAGGCUCAACCUCGAGACGUCGGCGGAAACCAUCUGGCUAGAGUCCGGAAGAGGAGAGUGGAAUUCCUGGUGUAGCGGUGAAAUGCGUAGAUAUCUGGAGGAACACCGGUGGCGAAGGCGGCAUCCUGGACCGGCAUUGACGCUGAGGCGCGAAAGCUAGGGGAGCAAACGGG